AGGACGAACGCUGGCGGCGUGCUUAACACAUGCAAGUCGAGCGGAAAGGCCCUUCGGGGUACUCGAGCGGCGAACGGGUGAGUAACACGUGAGCAAUCUGCCCUUAGCUUCGGGAUAGCCCCGGGAAACCGGGAUUAAUACCGAAUACGACCUCGGCCGACAUCGGCUUUGGUGGAAAGUUUUUCGGCUAGGGAUGAACUCGCGGCCUAUCAGCUUGUUGGUGGGGUAAUGGCCUACCAAGGCGACGACGGGUAGCCGGCCUGAGAGGGCGACCGGCCACACUGGGACUGAGACACGGCCCAGACUCCUACGGGAGGCAGCAGUGGGGAAUAUUGCGCAAUGGGCGAAAGCCUGACGCAGCGACGCCGCGUGGGGGAUGAAGGCCUUCGGGUUGUAAACCCCUUUCAGCAGGGACGAAGCGAGAGUGACGGUACCUGCAGAAGAAGCGCCGGCUAACUACGCGCCAGCAGCCGC
rnacentral:rRNA from 1 species